UACAGGGGGUGCAAACGUUGCUCGGAAUUAUUGGGCGUAAAGCGCGCGUAGGCGGCUACUUAUGUCGGAUGUGAAAGCCCUUGGCUCAACUGAGGAAGUGCACCCGAAACUGAGUAGCUGGAGUACGAAAGAGGGUCGCGGAAUUCCCGGUGUAGAGGUGAAAUUCGUAGAUAUUCGCAGGAACACCAGUGGCGAAGGCGACUUGCUGGAUCUUGCUGACGCUGAGACGCGAAAGCGUGGGGAGCAAACAGGG
rnacentral:rRNA from 1 species